UACUUACAAUGCCACCGUAUGAACCGAUUCUCUUCUUUUCCUUCCCACCCGGCCAAAAUUCUGUCCACCCGAAAUAGGAUUCCUUGUUCCCCAACCGGCCGCCACCAGCCGCCAACCCUCGAUCUCCGGCGAGCGUUGCCACCGACCUCCUCCUGCGGAAGGAAUGGAACCACCCGGCGCCGAUCUAUUAGUUCGAGACCAGCUCCAGCUUGGGGAACGAAGCCAUGGCGGGAUUCACAACCAUGGCACACAGCCUUAAAAGACCCAACCACCAGCGCUACUGCGCUAGCUUGGGAAGGGAGAAACGGCGGGCUUCGUCAGGAUCAGCUCGGGUUCGAUGUGACUGGCGGCGGAGGACCGGCGUGGACGUGCGUGCGCGCAAAUCCAGGGAGACGAUCAACUCCACGGGCGCGAUGCAAUGGAACCGGGAUGACAAAUCAGAUGCGUUCGCGCAUCUAGGACUGCCUCUGGUACUGCUGGAAGAACCUACGGGAAGAGAGCGUACAGAACCUGCCUCGUGUGGAGGAGCCGGUGGCGGCCGGCGAGGCUGCGCAGCGGGAGGCGGAAGAGAACCUAUGUAUGUCCGGAUGCCUACUCCGCGUUCCAGUUCCCUUCUCAUCCCCCAACCAGGACGCCCUGCGCAUCACUCUCUGCCGCCCUGAACAGGACCUAAAGCGCCGCCGUCGCUCAGCAACGAUUAUAGCCCUUCCAAGAUCAGCAACGAUGUGUAGACUGAGAUGUCGGCUUGUAGUCUUUGCAGUCCGCCACGCAUGCACCUCCUUGGUUCGGACGAAGCCAAGCGAGCUCUGCUGGGAGCUUCAUCGGCAAAAUCUUAUCUAUAUUUCGAUAAACCAUCGAUAAUUUUUUUAGGACAGAGGGAGUGCCAUAUAAUCUAUGUACCAUGUUGCUACAGAACUUUUUUAUUUUCUACUUUAAUGUAUAUAUAUUUUAAUUUUUCGCACCAACGCGCGGGCAUUGUCCUA